AGUAUUCUUCACCUAAGAAAACCCUAUGAAAUUCAAGGGGCUGCCUUAAGUUGACAGGCUACUUGAAGGCACAUACACAUACACACACAUGUACAUACGCACACAUGUACACGCAUUGCACUUCCCUUCUAUUCAUAUUUCUGCUGUUUAUAACUGUUAUUCAGGAGAACAAACAUUUUCAUGUGUGUGUGAGAGAGAGAUUGCACCAAUUCUGUAGUAAGGACAUAAUAUCCAUUGUGAAAUUAAAUACUGUACAACUCUUUCUUAGGUUUUUACAUAACGAAAUCUGAAAGUAUGAUGAGAUUCUCUGCAGAGAGGCAGAAAUGGUUGCUGAAUAAAUGGCUAUAGUGAGCAGCAGUGUAAAGAACUGAGUUUUCAGCCGUCUGCAAAGGAGAAAGACACUUUCUUGCUGUGUUCACUAGUAAAAGAACAGAGGUGAAGGUCAAGCCAUCUGUGCUAUCCACAAAGGAAAAGUGGCAGGGAAGUGAAAUGUUGUCGAAUGGACGUACCCUGAAUUCAUCCAUUGCAUCUGCACAUUGAAACAUCCAGUGGAUAGUUAGGCCUCAGUGCAGUGGUGAAGGCCAGCCAGCAAGCCAGCCACCAUUUGGUUGUAACUUCUGCCACAAGUUCAGCAAGUGACCAUAUUCCCUCUCAACCUCAUCCGCUCUUAUGAACAGGAAAAUUAUUGGCUUCAUUUUCCUCCAUAUUUUUUAACUAUAAUGUGCUUUCUGUUCUAAACAGAUUAUUUUCAAAUUUUGGAAAAUCCUUCAGAAAUAAAUUCUUUAUUCUCCCA